CAGUAGUUUUAAUGCAUGAAAACAAACUAGAAGUGUGUCGUUGGAGACGGGAUGCGUUUUUAGUGUUAUAUAUAUAUUAAAUCACGUCUGUGAUCUUCUUUAAAUGGUCUCGAGCAGCAGAUAAACAUGACAUCUAACGGAUGAUCAGCUUCUCAACUGAAGGGACUCGUAAAGUCUAUUUUAAAACGACUCAUUUUCCAGCUCCUCCUUGUGGACAUGAAGCAUAUCUUACAGAACUGAACCACAGAGGGGAAAUCACUCUUACUGACUGACUUAGAUUGCAUGGGGAAAUGCAGAUCUACCUCUGCCUUUUCCUGUGACAUUGCCUUCCAUACUUAUUCAG